ACUCGAGUCUUUGACGCAAGUUGCGCCUGAAGCCAUUAGGUUGAGGGCACGCCUGCCUGGGUGUCACACAUUGUCACCCCAAUGCAAAUGUGCAUUGAGGUGAAAGUUGGCUUCCCGCGAGGCAUUCCUCGUGGUUGGUUGAAAACGAAGUUAAUCGCGAAGUCCCUCGUCAUAAAUGGUGGAUGAGUAAAUCUCGAGACCAAUCGUGACUGUGGUACUUUGGGGAUGUAAUUGGUUGGCUCUGUUGUGUUUUCCGUUCAUGUUGAAGAAGACGCUUUUAUCGAGACCUCAGGUCAGGCGGGGCUACCCGCUGAGUUUAAGCAUAUCAAUAAGCGGAGGAAAAGAAACUAACAAGGAUUCCCCUAGUAACGGCGAGCGAACCGGGAACAGCCCAUCAUGAGAAUCGAUCGCCUUCGGUGUUCGAAUUGUAGUUAG
rnacentral:rRNA from 1 species